rnacentral:rRNA from 1 species
AUUGAACGCUGGCGGCAGGCCUAACACAUGCAAGUCGAACGAGUGGCGGACGGGUGAGUAAUGUUUGGGAAUCUGCCUGAUGGAGGGGGAUAACUACUGGCAACGGUAGCUAAUACCGCAUACCAUCAGAUGGGCCCAAGUGGGAUUAGCUAGUUGGUGGGGUAAAGGCUCACCAAGGCGACGAUGCCUAGCUGGUCUGAGAGGAUGACCAGCCACACUGGGACUGAGACACGGCCCAGACUCCUACGUGAGGCAGCAGUGGGGAAUAUUUCACAAUGGGCGCAAGCCUGAUGCAGCCAUGCCGCGUGUAUGAAGAAGGCCUUCGGGUUGUAAAGUUCUUUCGGUAGGGAGGCGUUACCUACAGAAGAAGCACCGGCUAACUCCGUGCCAGCAGCCGCGGUAAUUC